AAGACUAAGGUUUCCUCAGCGAUGCUAAUCAGCUGAGGGUUAGUCGGGUCCUAAGGCGAAUCCGAAGGGAGUAGUCGAUGGAUAACAGGUUAAUAUUCCUGUACUUCUUAUAAUUGCGAUGGGGUGACGGAGUAUUGAAAGCACCGCGAACUGACGGAAUAGUUCGUUGAAGUAUGUAGCUAUAGAACCAGAUUAAG
rnacentral:rRNA from 1 species